rnacentral:rRNA from 1 species
UACAGAGGGUGCAAGCGUUGUUCGGAAUUAUUGGGCGUAAAGGGUGCGUAGGCGGCUUUUUAAGUUUGGUGUGAAAUCUCCCGGCUCAACUGGGAGGGUGCGCCGAAUACUGAGAGGCUAGAGUGUGGGAGAGGAAAGUGGAAUUCCUGGUGUAGCGGUGAAAUGCGUAGAUAUCAGGAGGAACACCGGUGGUGUAAACGGCUUUCUGGACCAUAACUGACGCUGAUGCACGAAAGCGUGGGUAGCAAACAGG